AUUGAACGCUGGCGGCAUGCCUUACACAUGCAAGUCGAACGGUAACGCGGGGCAACCUGGCGACGAGUGGCGAACGGGUGAGUAAUAUAUCGGAACGUGCCCAGUAGUGGGGGAUAGCCCGGCGAAAGCCGGAUUAAUACCGCAUACGACCUACGGGUGAAAGGGGGGGAUCGCAAGACCUCUCGCUAUUGGAGCGGCCGAUAUCAGAUUAGGUAGUGGGUGGGGUAAAAGCCCACCAAGCCAAGGAUCUGUAGCUGGUCUGAGAGGACGACCCGCCACACUGGGACUGCGAAACGGCCCAGACUCCUACGGGAGGAAGAAGUGGGGAAUUUUGGACAAUGGGCGAAAGCCUGAUCCAGCCAUGCCGCGUGCGGGAAGAAGGCCUUCGGGUUGUAAACCGCUUUUGUCAGGGAAGAAAUCCUUUGAGCUAAUACCUCGGGGGGAUGACGGUACCUGAAGAAUAAGCACCGGCUAACUACGUGCCAGCCGCCGCAGUAA
rnacentral:rRNA from 1 species